UGAAGGAAGCCGAUAGCGAAGCGUCAGCCUGACGAACAGGAAUCAGAUGUGAGGCGUAACGACUAGGAGAGCUGGCAUGACUCAGUUAACCCAGUACCAAUACGGAAAGUCGUUACGUAGAUCUGGCAGGUAGGACGCGAAG
rnacentral:ncRNA from 1 species